AGGGGGAUAGCUCAGUGGUAGAGUGCCUGCCUAGCAUGCACAAGGUCCUGGGUUCAAUCCCCAGUACCUCCA
rnacentral:tRNA from 1 species